rnacentral:rRNA from 1 species
CCCUUAGAUGUUCUGGGCCGCACGCGUGCUACACUGAGUAAUUCAAGGGGUAAGGGAACGCUAGAGCAUUACCUAAUCUUGAAAUUUGCUCGUGAUGGGGAUCGACGGUUGCAAUUUUCCGUCGUGAACGAGGAAUACCUUGUAGGCGCAUGUCAUCAUCAUGCGCCGAAUACGUCCCUGCCCUUUGUACACACCGCCCGUCGCUCCUACCGAUUGAGUGAUCCGGUGAGGCUCUGGGACCUGGACGGAAAGAGCGUUUCGCUUGUUCUGUUUGGGAAACUUGGUCGAACCUUAUCAUUUAGAGGAAGGAGAAGUCGUAACA